rnacentral:lncRNA from 1 species
UCACCUUUCAGGCACUAAGGAAACCAUUGAGAAGUAAACGGUGAGACCAGAGAAAGUUUCGAAGUUAGAUCAAUGUUACUAGUUUGUUUUGUAUUUUGUACUGUUAUAAGAAAAACAAAAAUUUUAGAGUUUUGUAUUUGUAUGUAGCUGAUGUAAAUAUUUAAGAGAUGUAACAUUUCUGAGUACUUUUGUCUUAAUGAAAGUAUGCUAUUUAAUUUAAUUAAGUGUUUAUGCUCCAGCCAAUGCCUUGGAAGAGCGAUUAGGCCGUGACACAGGUGGUACAUAGUGUACAUAGUGUUCUUCAGGCAAUUUUGCGCAUGUAGCGUCACCUCAGAAUUUGCUAUUUACAUUUCCAACAUGUUAGUGUUUCAGUUUUUCUUGGCCAUUGCCAUUUUUGAAUUGUGACUUUGUUUUCAGUGGAAAACAAGGUUUUUGGUAGAGCUUCAGUUAUUCUUGUGGUACGCAAAUGACAAUCGUUGUGAUUUUGGAGGGCAGCUGCUGUCUUGCUUCUACUUGCCAUCAUUAGCUGGUGGAAGUUACCCACCCAUUUUACUCCUCCUCUGGUGCUAUGUUUGAACAGGCAGCAGUACUUUAGUCCAUGAAAUGGCCCGUUUUAUAAUCGGAGGUAGGAUGACAGCAUUCAGCUGAGAUUGAUUCGUGUUUGGAACUUUCUCAUGAGCCAAGAAGCUGGGUUUCCUUGUCUAUGCAGCAAUCUAGUUAGAGUUUCUCAUUUUUCCACCCAAAAAUUGCUUAAUUCUAAGCAUAUAGGUUUCUUUUUUAUCUCGGCAACUUCCACGAACCAUAUCAUCUUCCCUUAGUGCAAUAUUUGGUGCUAGAUGUGUAUUUUGAACUUUUUACUAGUUUCACCCUCGUGAUAGAAUGUAGAAGCAGUUAGUUUCCUUUCUUUCCAUUAUUUCCUUUUUUUCAAUUUUGGUAAAUUGGGGGGGGGGG